rnacentral:rRNA from 1 species
UACGUAGGGUGCAAGCGUUAAUCGGAAUUACUGGGCGUAAAGCGUGCGUAGGCGGCGCGGUAAGUCGGGUGUGAAAUCUCGGAGCUUAACUCCGAAACUGCAUUCGAUACUGCCGUGCUUGAGGACUGGAGAGGAGACUGGAAUUUACGGUGUAGCGGUGAAAUGCGUAGAUAUCGUAAGGAAGACCAGUGGCGAAGGCGGGUCUCUGGACAGUUCCUGACGCUGAGGCACGAAGGCCAGGGGAGCAAACGGG